CAUAGGUUUGGUCCCAGCCUUCCUGUUAACUUUCAAUAGACUUAUACAUGCAAGCAUCCACGCCCCGGUGAGUAACGCCCUUCGAAUCACAUAGGACUAAAAGGAGCAGGUAUCAAGCACACACUCUUGUAGCUCACAACGCCUUGCUUAACCACACCCCCACGGGAGACAGCAGUAACAAAAAUUAAGCCAUAAACGAAAGUUUGACUAAGCCAUAUUGACCAGGGUUGGUAAAUCUCGUGCCAGCCACCGCGGUCAUACGAUUGACCCAAGCUAACAGGAGUACGGCGUAAAGCGUGUUAAAGCAUCAUACUAAAUAGAGUUAAAUUUUAAUUAAACUGUAAAAAGCCAUAAUUAUAACAAAAAUAAAUGACGAAAGUAACCCUACAAUAGCUGAUACACCAUAGCUAAGACCCAAACUGGGAUUAGAUACCCCACUAUGCUUAGCCCUAAACACAAAUAAUUAU
rnacentral:rRNA from 1 species